CGCCGAGCGUCGCCAUCGCAAGCGCUGCCUCCGCAUGGAGCUCCCUCUCUCCCGAAGCACCGCACCACAGCGAGCGUCGGGGUCUCUCCGCUUCCCCGUUCUCCUCCUCCUCCACCCUUCCCAUACAUAGCUAAACCCUAACCCUACCUGUCGCAGCCGCUGUUGUCGAUGCCGCUGCCUCCUCGCCUUCCCGAUGCCCUAAUCCGAGGCGUCCCCGCCGCCUACUCCGGCCGCCGCAGAGCCCACGGUACCAACAAAGACCUCCUCGUCCCCGGCGCCUCCUCCCGAUCCCAAAUUCUAGUGCAGGAUCGAGGAGGUUGCGAUGCUAUUUGUUUCGACGUGGAGCUGAUAUAAAAAAUAGGUAUACUACUUGGGCUCGACCCCAACCCCUGCCUCCUCCAUGCCCUCACCACCAUGUGCGAGCUACACCAAGCUAGGUCAAUGUUGCGCUAGACAACUUCAGUUACGUGUAGCUGACACAUUGUUCAAUAGCUCGAACACAAGGAGUGCAUUUAAAGUUGGGAAGCUGGCCAAUUUGCUCUUGUGUUUGGUUUCUACAGUUUCUGGGAAAUUAGAUUUUGCACCAAAUCCAAUGCAAAUGAUAUUUCACUAUUUCUUCCUACAAGAGUUCAAGUUGAUCGAAAGCGUAGAGCUGGCUCCUCUCAGGAAGCUGAUCGAUCCCCUGACAGGGGUUCAAAUUGAUCGAAAGCAUAGAUCUGGCUCCUCUCAAGGAGCUGAUCGAUCCUCUGACAGGUCAGUACUCGGUAGCCUAAGACUAUGAUUAGUGGUGCUGCUGGGAGUUCUUUGAGCAUUGAACAAGCCAUUCUUAGAUUGAUCGAGGCUUUGAUGAUAGUACUAAAUGACAAGGAAAAUCUUAGUGCACUUGGUAAGCACAAGAAUGAGAAUCAUUCUGGUGGCAGUGAGUCAAUUGAGCAUAUAUUGCAGAUGCUUCGCCAGUUGCCAACCAAAAAUAUAUCUGAUAAGAUAAGCCAUGAUGAGAUUACAAAUGAUUCUAUCUCCAAUGUCAAUAAUUCCUUUGCUGAUAGAAAGGCACUGCAUGUGAAGCGGACCAAAAAUGGCUUGAGUAAACAACUAGUAAUGUUGAUAAAUUGUUGUGUGCUACAUUCCCACAUGUGUGUUUUCCUUGUUUCUUACAGUUUAAAAUAAAUGAGUCACCUGUUAGGAACAUGGGAUUUUCCCCUAUUCCUGCGUUUUUCCUAUGAAAUUGAACUGAUCCAUUUGAAAUUCAUGUAUGAUUCCUGUGUUCCAAACGGGGCCUUAUUCUUUUAAGUUGACACUCAUUUUUUGCAGCUUGCUAUUCAUUCAUCUGAGAAGGUAAGGAACGCAGUGGUUAGUGGUGUAAAAGGGCUUUUGUCUAGUUGCAGUUCUACAUUAAAAAGAACCAAGAUGCUACUUUUGGAAUGUUUAUGUGUUCUGGCAUGUGAUGAUGCUGCAGCUGUGUCUGAGGCUGCACAAGAUGCUCUUGAUCAUCUUUUCAACCAAGGCCACAAUCUCGUAACAGAAAAUGAGAUUUCUGAUACCUUUACUAGGCUGGUUGAAAGGCUACCACAAGUGGUACUUGGAAGCGAGGAGACAACCACACUUUCACAUGCUAGGAUGUUGUUGGCUCUGACCUUUUAUGCUGGUCCCUAGUUUCUGAUAAAUCAUCUUCACCGUUCUCCUGUCAUUGCUGCUCGUUUCUUUGAUUGUUUGGGUUUAUGCAUAGGUCAUAGCUCACAGUUUUCUGGUUCCAUGGACAAGCUAAUUGUAUCAAAGCCACUAUCUAUUGGGUAUCUUUAUUCAGUUGCUGAGUUGAAGAGUGGCGCCUAUUCUAAAGAUACAACUAACAUAUCUCUGCAUGCCACGUCAACAUUUGCAGCCUCCAAAAUAUCUGUUAUCCAUGAUAAUGCUUUGCCAAUUGCAUUACUUGGUACAGUUGAAUAUGAGUUGCCCCAUGUGCCUCCAUGGUUUUUUCAUGCUGGUAGCCAGAAGCUUUAUGGGGUUCUUGCUGGAAUAAUUAGACUUGUUGGCCUAUCAACAGUGUCAGGUACCUUGUGAAUUAUUUUGCUUGUCAAAUCUACGAUUCAUGGACUGUUCUAUUUUUUCAUGCUGAGUCAGUACUAAACCAAAGAUCAUAACCCGUUCCUAAGAGGAACCCAACAAUAUGUAACUAAAAAAAUUAUCAAUUCCCUUUAUCUUUAUCUGUUCAUGACUUUGCUUAUUGUUUCCUACUCAAGAUGGUCGUGCAUGGAGCUUUGUUCGGCACCAAUGGCACAAUAUGUUCUCUACAUAUUACAAUAUGCAGUUGAUGGGUUCGAUUCCUUAAAGCUAACAGUAGUGGUCACUAGCCCUUGAAAAAUAAAUUUUGGACAACCAAAUUUCAUAGCAGCUUUGACUAUUGUUGAAGUUGAUCUUUUUACUACUUUAGAUUGUCGUUGAUGCAAAUGUUCUUUGUGGUGCUUUGAGAUGACUAAGGAUCUAUAUCUGUCUUAAGAUUUGUCUUUUCCUUACAAGUGAAGAGAUUGCGUGGUUCAAUGAAGUAAUAACCUAUGAUCUAUGGGCCAGGUCUUUGAUGAGUACCUUAACUUGCAGGAUAGCAUACUCAUACAGUAAUAUUGUUGUUUGUCGCUCUUAACAAAUUUCAUUCAGGAACCGGGCCAUGUUGAUGUUCAAAAGAGUUGUCAGAAGUUCAUGACAUCUGGUAUUUAUUAUAUCUUCUUUUGUAGUGGGCUGGUGUGGUCUGCUUAGCAGCAGAUAAUUUUGCUAUUGAAAAUUAAUCUAUUACCAUAAGCUUGGUGACUGAGGUAGACAUUUGAUUUAUACUUAAUCUAACUGUUUCUCUAUGUGAAUAUAUACAUAUAAUAACUCAGGUAGCACUACAACCAACAAUGUAUGGAUGAAUUGAAGGUAGUAAAGAACGCAGGCAAUCUUAUAGAAACUCUGCAUCUUGAAACUGGCAUGAUUGACAAAGAAGCUGGAUGCAUCCUUUGGAUUGGUGUCUUCUUAUCACCAAGCUGGAUUCAUUUGUUGACUAAGAACAGAUGAGCACAAAUCAGUGAAGAGUUCAUUGCACUAGAGAUGGAGGAUGGAUAGGUGGUAGAUUUCAAUAUGGCUUUGAUACUAUUGUUUCUCUUUACAAUCUUUGUACAGAACAAGAAAAAUGACGUUGUAUGUGGAUACUAUUGUAAUUCAAGAAUUUAUUUCUGAAUAAUAAAUAUAUUUGUUUAUAAUUUGUGUA